UCAUUACUUAUGAAUAUAAGUUUGUAACGAUUAUGUGAAACUUUCUUAUAUUCUAGCAUCGGAUUUAUGCAUGCCAAUUAAGUGUCGAUCCUUAAUCAACAAAUACAAAUAAGUUAUCAAUCAAAUAGUUAAGCCAAUUGCAUUCACGAUUCAAGAGUUCAUAACUGGAAUUUGUCAAAUUAUAUUGCAAUAAACAUAGUUAUGGCUUUGAAAUAACCCCUAGCCAAGAGGAGUUUAGCCACUUAUAUUUACAACAAAACGAAAGAAAAUGAAUUUAAACAUUAGAAACAAAGGAAAGAAAACACCUAAACACUCCAACGAUCCAAGUUGGACAGCAAGCACGUCCAAGCACUUUCCUUCCCUUCCUUUGCUACGGCACAAGGUGUUGGUGAGUGUUUGAAGGUUUGUUUGUAUGGAGGAAUGGAUGUAAAGAUGAAUAGAUGUGUUUGGAUGAAGGUUGUAUUGAAAUGGGGAUGAAUGAUCAAGCAAAAACUGAACUCAAUUUAUGUUACACACACUUCCUUUUAUAGAGGAAGUGCAUGGCAAUGGAGGGGAACAUGGAGUGGUGUAGCAAUUAAGUGCAAUGAUGCAUGAAAUCUGAAAUGAUGGAGGGAACAAGGAAUGGUGUAGCAAUUGAGUGCAAUGAUUCAAUGUAAUGAUGCAUGAAAUCUGAAAUGAUGGAGGGAACAAGGAAUGGUGUAGCAAUUAGGUGCAAUGAUUCAAUGUAAUGAUGCAUGAAUCUAAAAUGAUGGAGGGAACAAGGAAUGGUGUAGCAAUUGAGUGCAAUGAUU
rnacentral:lncRNA from 1 species